rnacentral:rRNA from 1 species
CUACGGGCGGCAGCAGUGGGGAAUAUUGCACAAUGGGCGCAAGCCUGAUGCAGCCAUGCCGCGUGUAUGAAGAAGGCCUUCGGGUUGUAAAGUACUUUCAGCGGGGAGGAAGGGAGUAAAGUUAAUACCUUUGCUCAUUGACGUUACCCGCAGAAGAAGCACCGGCUAACUCCGUGCCAGCAGCCGCGGUAAUACGGAGGGUGCAAGCGUUAAUCGGAAUUACUGGGCGUAAGGCGCACGCAGGCGGUUUGUUAAGUCAGAUGUGAAAUCCCCGGGCUCAACCUGGGAACUGCAUCUGAUACUGGCAAGCGUGAGUCUCGUAGAGGGGGGUAGAAUUCCAGGUGUAGCGGUGAAAUGCGUAGAGAUCUGGAGGAAUACCGGUGGCGAAGGCGGCCCCCUGGACGAAGACUGACGCUCAGGUGCGAAAGCGUGGGGAGCAAACAGGAUUAGAUACCCGGGUAGUC